rnacentral:tRNA from 1 species
GGAGAGGUAGCUCAACAGAUGGAGCACAGGUUUCUCAGACCUGAGGCCCCAGGUUUGAUUCCUGGCACCA